rnacentral:rRNA from 3 species
CUGGCGGCUGUAGCGCGGUGGUCCCACCUGACCCCAUGCCGAACUCAGAAGUGAAACGCCGUAGCGCCGAUGGUAGUGUGGGGUCUCCCCAUGCGAGAGUAGGGAACUGCCAGAC